rnacentral:lncRNA from 1 species
CAGAGGAUGGAUAAGCUGGAAUCCAUGAUGGCAAAUUGAAACCUACUUGGUCUAGCUAAACUGACAAAUACAAAUUCACCCAAAUGCAUACAGCAAUUGCCAUAUAAAUUUACAUGACCACAAACUGUAUGUAAGAAUUCCUAUUGGGCUUCCCAUUCUCACCAAUAUUUGUUUUUGUCCAACUUUGUUUUUACAUUUUUGCUAUGAUGGUCACUGUAAAAUUAUAUCUCAUUUUGAUUGGUUUUAACUUGUACUUUUCUCAUUCAUGAUGGUAGAAGUAAACAAAACAUUUUCCUUAGAUUAGUCUGUUCUUACAAGGAACAAUUCUUUAUGGAGAAGAACAAAGGAAACAAAGAAGAAUCAGCUUCUAGAUUCUUGUUGGGUUCUGGAUAUGAGCUGACUAAAUGUCACAAAAAUAAAGUAUGGGAUAUACUUUUGAUGAGUUGUUU